rnacentral:rRNA from 1 species
GACGAACGCUGGCGGCGCGCCUAACACAUGCAAGUCGAGCGAGAACCCGAGGAGGGGUAACCCUUCUCGGGGGAGAGCGGCGAACGGGUGAGUAACACGUGGGCAACCUGCCCCAGACUCUGGGAUAACCCCGGGAAACCGGGGCUAAUACCGGAUACUCUCGGCGGACCGCAUGAUCUGUCGAGGAAAGCCCUCACGGUCUGGGAUGGGCCCGCGGCCUAUCAGCUUGUUGGCGGGGUAACGGCCCACCAAGGCGACGACGGGUAGCUGGUCUGAGAGGACGGCCAGCCACACUGGGACUGAGACACGGCCCAGACUCCUACGGGAGGCAGCAGUGGGGAAUCUUGCGCAAUGGGCGAAAGCCUGACGCAGCGACGCCGCGUGGGGGAUGAAGGCCCUCGGGUUGUAAACCCCUUUCGGCAGGGACGAAGCGAAAGUGACGGUACCUGCAGAAGAAGCUCCGGCUAACUACGUGCCAGCCGCCGCAGUAAGAC